CAACUAUAUCACGUUGAAACACCAGUUCUGGUACGAUUACCGAAGUUAAGCAAUGUCACGCUUGGUCAGUAUUUUGAUGGGUGACAGUUUGGGAAUAUCAGGUGCUAUA